ACACAUGCAAGUCGAGGGGCAGCAUUUCAGUUUGCUUGCAAACUGGAGAUGGCGACCGGCGCACGGGUGAGUAACACGUAUCCAACCUGCCGAUAACUCGGGGAUAGCCUUUCGAAAGAAAGAUUAAUACCCGAUGGUAUAAUCAGACCGCAUGGUCUUGUUAUUAAAGAAUUUCGGUUAUCGAUGGGGUGCGUUCCAUUAGGCAGUUGGUGAGGUAACGGCUCACCAAACCUUCGAUGGAUAGGGGUUCUGAGAGGAAGGUCCCCCACAUUGGAACUGAGACACGGUCCAAACUCCUACGGGAGGCAGCAGUGAGGAAUAUUGGUCAAUGGGCGCAGGCCUGAACCAGCCAAGUAGCGUGAAGGAUGACUGCCCUAUGGGUUGUAAACUUCUUUUAUAUGGGAAUAAAGUUUUCCACGUGUGGAAUUUUGUAUGUACCAUAUGAAUAAGGAUCGGCUAACUCCGUGCCAGCAGCCGCGGUAAUACGGAGGAUCCGAGCGUUAUCCGGAUUUAUUGGGUUUAAAGGGAGCGUAGGUGGACAGUUAAGUCAGUUGUGAAAGUUUGCGGCUCAACCGUAAAAUUGCAGUUGAUACUGGCUGUCUUGAGUACAGUAGAGGUGGGCGGAAUUCGUGGUGUAGCGGUGAAAUGCUUAGAUAUCACGAAGAACUCCGAUUGCGAAGGCAGCUCACUGGACUGCAACUGACACUGAUGCUCGAAAGUGUGGGUAUCAAACAGGAUUAGAUACCCUGGUAGUCCACACAGUAAACGAUGAAUACUCGCUGUUUGCGAUAUACAGUAAGCGGCCAAGCGAAAGCAUU
rnacentral:rRNA from 1 species